rnacentral:rRNA from 1 species
UGGGGAAUUUUGGACAAUGGGCGCAAGCCUGAUCCAGCCAUGCCGCGUGCGGGAAGAAGGCCUUCGGGUUGUAAACCGCUUUUGUCAGGGGAGAAAUCUUCUGAGUUAAUACCUCGGGAGGAUGACGGUACCUGAAGAAUAAGCACCGGCUAACUACGUGCCAGCAGCCGCGGUAAUACGUAGGGUGCAAGCGUUAAUCGGAAUUACUGGGCGUAAAGCGUGCGCAGGCGGUUUUGUAAGACAGAGGUGAAAUCCCCGGGCUCAACCUGGGAACUGCCUUUGUGACUGCAAGGCUUGAGUGCGGCAGAGGGGGAUGGAAUUCCGCGUGUAGCAGUGAAAUGCGUAGAUAUGCGGAGGAACACCGAUGGCGAAGGCAAUCCCCUGGGCCUGCACUGACGCUCAUGCACGAAAGCGUGGGGAGCAAACAGGGAUUAGAUAGCCCUGGUAGUCACGCCCUAAACGAUGUCAACUGGUUGUUGGGAAGGUUCCUUCUCAGUAACGUAGCUAACGCGUGAANUUGACCGCCUGGGGAGUACGGCCGC